rnacentral:lncRNA from 1 species
ACCAGUGAUGUUAAUGACUAUCGCGGGAAUAGCCGAUGGAGAACAUAGCAGCAACGCGCUUUUCCUCAGAGAAUUAACAAGAAUGAAUCUCCUCAUUGCUGACCGACACAAUCAACAAACGCCACAAACGUCGCCACGGUAAACCCGUAGCUUUUAUGUGGGGUGACGCCAAAGGACAUUGGUCAAAAGCAUAAGAUUCAGUGCAUCGGCCACCAUCAGCCUAUCCGAACAUCCGAACAGACCAAGAAAGUGAUGAUUGACGUUCCGCCACAAGAUGGCGACAGAGACUGCUUAAUAAGUUCUUAGGGGAGAAAAACAGCAUUUUCUCAGCUCAAGUUUCAAACAACAGCUAAACAAAUCAUUAUAAAUCAGAAAGCCAUAAUUCUUGCGAUCACAUACGAUCAAAGUGUGGCCAGCUCUCAGGCAUCCACCCUCAGCGCCAUCCCCAUAAUUACUUUGAGUGGACUGCCGAUGACCCCACAUGGAUAAAAUUAUUGCGUCCACUAUUUUCUCCACAGCACUGAAUAGUCAACAAGAAAUGUGCAUGAAGCAAUAUGUUGUCUUGUGUUUUCUACCUCAAAGAAAAUUGUCCUGAUUUUGGUCUCAAGGCCUCCAUCUGAAAAUGACUUCAUUGUGGAAAAAUGGCUUUAUUAUAAGGCACCAAUCUUCAUUUGAUGGCAUUUUGUUGUCUUUGAAGAGAGCAGAUUCAUGUAUACAGAAGUAUGAGCAAAUUGCGCCACUUUUCUUUCAUUUUUUGGAACAAUUUUGAUAGAAUUAGAUUAAGAGCAUGACAUCUGUCUUAGCGAUGCAGACAUGUGGAUUACACUCAGCUGUGUUUGAGUAAACACAAAAAAAAUUACCAAGAUAUAUUCUAGAUCUGUUUGGAUCUUGGUGUCUUGUGUAUUUUGACUAUUUAAUGAAAAUAUUAAUAAAUACUUGAGACGGGG